UAGUUUCUUUUUCUUUAGUCUAUCGACAAACCUUAUACUUAUAAAACAUCAACUCUACUUUUAAGAUAUAAAUCUUGAAUAUUUUUGUACAACUAUUAUAUAAGGAAUAUAUUUUGUUUUUACCUAAUAUCGUGUAUUGUGAAUUGGAAUUAAAAUCCUGUUGGC
rnacentral:lncRNA from 1 species